rnacentral:lncRNA from 1 species
UUUCUUGAUAAUCCAUUCUAUGUGUGAGUAUAACCUUUAGCCACAAGACUCGCUUUAUAUCUCUCCAGGGAUCCAUCUGCUUUAUACUUUAUUGUAUACACCCAUCUACAACUGACAAUUUUCUUCUCUUUUGGAAAUUCCAUAAUCUCCCAAGUUCGAUUCCUCUCAAGGGCUUCCAUUUCCUCCUUCAUUACCUUUUUCCACUCUUCUUAUAGCAAGGCUUCCUCUACAUUUGGUGGUAUCUUAUCUGAAUGUAUCUUGGUGAGAAAUGAUCUAUAAGAGGGAGAACAAUUCUCAAAAGAAAUAAAGUUAACAAUAGGACGUUGGGUGCACUUUCUAGUUCCUUUUCGAACAACAAUAGGAAGCUCAAUAUCUGUUGAGUCAUUAGAUACCUCUUCAUUACCUGCUAUAGGAUCAGAAAAUUGAACUAGCCUUGGUCCGGGGUCAGCUUUCCUUCUUAAAUAAACAUGCAGUGGCAAAUUAGGAAUUGUGUUCCCUAGUUUCUCAUUAACAGGACUCGAAAGACUCGAAUAAAAAGAUGGCUCUUUUC